rnacentral:rRNA from 1 species
GAGGGUAGCGGCACACGGGUGAGUAACGCGUGGUCAAUCUACCCUUUUCUGUGGAAUAUUCGCACGGAAACUUGUGCUAAUACCCAAUGUGUCCUUCGGGAGAAAGAUUUAUCGGGAAAGGAUGAGCCCGCGUUGGAUUAGCUAGUUGGUGGGGUAAAGGCCUACCAAGGCGACGAUCCAUAGCUGGUCUGAGAGGAUGAUCAGCCACAUUGGGACUGAGACACGGCCCAAACUCCUACGGGAGGCAGCAGUGGGGAAUAUUGGACAAUGGGCGCAAGCCUGAUCCAGCCAUGCCGCGUGAGUGAUGAAGGCCCUAGGGUUGUAAAGCUCUUUCACCGGAGAAGAUAAUGACGGUAUCCGGAGAAGAAGCCCCGGCUAACUUCGUGCCAGCAGCCGCGGUAAUACGAAGGGGGCUAGCGUUGUUCGGAAUUACUGGGCGUAAAGCGCACGUAGGCGGAUCGAUCAGUCAGGGGUGAAAUCCCAGGGCUCAACCCUGGAACUGCCUUUGAUACUGUCGAUCUGGAGUAUGGAAGAGGUGAGUGGAAUUCCGAGUGUAGAGGUGAAAUUCGUAGAUAUUCGGAGGAACACCAGUGGCGAAGGCGGCUCACUGGUCCAUUACUGACGCUGAGGUGCGAAAGCGUGGGGAGCAAACAGGAUUAGAUACCCUAA